GAUGAAGAACGUAGUGAAAUGCGAUAAGUAAUGUGAAUUGUAGAAUUCAGUGAAUCAUCGAAUCUUUGAACGCACAUUGCACCUCUCGGUAUUCCGGGAGGUAUGCCUGUUCGAGCGUCAUUUGUACCCUCAAGCUCUGCUUGGUGUUGGGUGUUUGUUCCGCCUCUGUGUGUGAACUCGCCUCAAAACAAUUGGCAGCCGGCGUACUUGUUUCGGAGCGCAGCACAUUUUGCGAUCCAGAUCAACGUACAGCGGCAUCCAAGAAGCCUUAUUUAACGCUCUUGACCUCGGAUCAGGUAGGGAUACCCGCUGAACUUAAGCAUAUCAAUAAGCGGAGGA
rnacentral:misc_RNA from 1 species